UACGUAGGGUGCGAGCGUUAAUCGGAAUUACUGGGCGUAAAGCGUGCGCAGGCGGUUGUGCAAGACAGGUGUGAAAUCCCCGGGCUUAACCUGGGAACUGCACUUGUGACUGCACAGCUGGAGUACGGCAGAGGGGGAUGGAAUUCCGCGUGUAGCAGUGAAAUGCGUAGAUAUGUGGAGGAAUACCGAUGGCGAAGGCAGCCCCCCUGGGAUAACACUGACGCUCAUGCACGAAAGCGUGGGGAGCAAACAGG
rnacentral:rRNA from 1 species